CAAGAGCAAGAGUACAGUUCCAGCUCCUGUACACAGAAACUGGAACUGUAUUAUUGCUCCAGGUAAAAGCCCUUACGCACAACCUUCAGUCUGCUGCCCACCUAAGCAGGUUGGCAGGCAUUGCUGUCAAGAAAUGGCCAUUUGUGUGUUGCACAGUAGGAAAUGGGUGUUGCUACUGUCUGACUUCUGAUCUGACAAUUUAUACAAUGAUAACAUUCUCACAAUGGCCUUCUCAUUUUUUAGAUUUUCUGGAUCCACUAGUGGGGUAGAGUUUCUGUUUCAUAGUUCUGUUUCCAUUGUGUUCGCAGAAACUUGUUCUAGUUUUAAUUUCUCUUCCCACACACCCCACAAUUGUGAUCAGAAUAAAAUCAGUGAAUAAUGAACAAUUAAUUUUUCUUAUAUUCUAAAUCUAAUUUUUAAAGAGGCAUGGUAGAUAAUUCACAUUUUGUGAUGUUAAACCAAAAAGAAUAUUUUGAUUUUUGACUAUUAUAUUUUUUCCUUAAUUUUUGGUUGUUAAUUUCUUGGAUUAAGAACUAAUGUUAAUGCUUAUAUCCCAGUCAUACAACUAAAGCAGCAUUUAUUAAAACUGAAUACUUAGUUCUUUUUGGAAAUUAUUUUAAUGAGUUUUAUUAUAAGGAAGAUUUGGUAGUUUGGGAGACUUAGAUGUGACAAUAUAUAUUAUAAAAUUACUCUAACAUAAGGAUUAAAAUUUGGAUACCAUUCCUACCUUGUAAUAGCCUGUUCUUUCAUCUGUCUAGACCAAGAACUGCUGAAGCUAUUUAACAUCUUAAUUUGUUCCAGCCAGACAACUAUGGCUUCAGAUUUCACAGCGAGAGCAUAACUCAUGAACAGCGAAUCAAUAUUUCUAUGCUCUAUAUGGUUAAGUAAAAAUGGUUUUCAUAUCAGUAAGCAGAUCAAAGUAAUGCUUACAUCUGUAGUUUUGUAGCUACCAGCACUGCAAUUUUAAUUGGUAUUGGGAUCCACAGUGAAUGGCUCUUGGUCCUUCAUAUACACUUGCAUGCAUGAAGUUAACAGGUGUGUUUCUUGUUCACAGAAGGUAACUAAUGCAGAAAUAUCUCUGGUUUAGAGGUAAAUUUAUUCAAAAAUGAUAUGCAUUUUUGAAUAAAUGGUCGGGUUUGGGGGUUUUUUGUUUGGUUGGGUUUGUGGGAUUUUUGGGAUGUGGAUGUGUGUGUGUGCGUUCUGGUUUGGCUUUUAUAUUCCCCAGAUUUUGCAUAAAAUACGUGAGGGUAGCAAUCCAGCACCAUCACAGAAAAUAUCUGAGGAAAAUUGGUGGAUAAUUUUUCACUGUGCAGAAAAUAACCUUUUGAAUAUGUUACUUCUUGCUUGUAAUUUUAUAAAUACAGUGUUACCAGUGAAUAUUGCUAAUUCUAUCUUUCAUUUUUCUUCAGCAUAAUCUGGCAUAGUGCAGUUGCUAUUGUUUAUUUUAUAUUAAUUUAUUCUAUUUUUUUCUAAAAAUAAUGGAAAUGAAGAUUUACAUUCCCCUCUUCCCUAGAUUUGUUCUUUGAAUUUCUUAAUUGUUUCAUAUUCUGAAAUUCAAUGGGGAAUCACACAUUCUGUGCUUUUUUUGGGAAUUAAAUUCCCUAAUGCAAGGCUACAUUUUUUAUUUGUUGAGUAACUGCCUAUUCACUUAGGGAAAACAUAGCAAUAGAAUAAUAACACAAAGUUGUUAGAAGACAGUCCAUAUUCUGUAUUUGGACACUCAUAUUUCAUAUAAUAAAGCAUAAUUGUUUUCAUUUUAAUUUGCCCUAGGUUUAUACUGCACAUAUGGAGAGGGAAGAGUCCACGUUUCUGCAUCUAUAGCAAAUGCAUCUCUGACAUGUAAAUAAAGUCAUGCAUAUUCUCUUGGUUCCAACAAGUGGUUCCUCAAGAGGAACAUCAAAUAUCUCUGGAGUAAUGUUUUCAUAACUGCUCUUCCCAACAAGACAAUCCUUCUAUCUGCUUCAGCACUGUGAUGAAAGCCAUGUUAAGGUCUGAUAUCCCUGGAAGAACAGUGAACUAGAAACUGAAUGUGACCACAAACUAUUAAGAAAAACUCCAUUCAACCAAGAAAGUAUUUCAGCCAUGCAGUAGAGUAAUAGCUUCCAUGACUACUCUACAUUUAGGGGAGAAGAUGUUUGACAUGUUUAAAGAGGAGCUGUGAUCUCACACUGAUUGCCAGAUGGCAGCAGGAAGCCCAGAGCGCAUGUACUGACAAACAGCGGGGGAAAACCAGCUGCACAGAGUGAUUGCACACUGCCAGCAAAGAGGCACUGAGCUGGAGCCCAGAGAGAGCACUGAGAUACCUGCCAAGUCAGAAAACACAGGUGGGAGCAAGGGUCUGCACUUCUUUUCCAAAUGACACAAGAAAAAAUGGACAAGUUUUGACAUGUGCACAUAACCAGGACAAGUAGCUGUGAACUUGCUGUGCUCCUUAUUACUCUCUGUAAUAGAAAAUUUCCAAAUAGGCUAAUUAUGCAAGUUAUAUGAUUUUGUAUGCACAUGCAUAGGGCUACAUUUUCUGAUAGUUAAACGAGCCCCAGAGAGCAGCAGGGCUCAUUUGUGAAGCACUGAAUAAAACCCU